GCCUCACCUGCACCUAUCACCCAGCGUCCUCCUGCCACCUCUUGCUCUAGCUGUCAUGCGUGCGUCUUCCAUGCCUUCCCUAGUCCGGGUGUCAAGAGAGACCCCAGACCGCUACAGGCUGACACUAAGGAUGCUGAAUGCUGUGGGCGUGGGCAGAUUUUGUGGGGCUGGAAGACAGCAGCCCUCAGGCUGAACUCAUUCGCCAGCCCCUCCCAACACUUGGAGAACCCCAGCUUGGGCGAUUCUAUCCAGACACCUAGAGGGUGACACCCAAGCUGCUGCACUCUUGGCGACAAGGACUGAUUUGGAACAGAAGUGGCCUAGAAAGGGCAGGAGAUUGUAUGCUGCCUUCACUCAACACGGAAGAACUUUAAAACUACCCGCCCUCCCUCUCCAGCUUUGCCAGCAGGAACUCCCAGCUGACCUCCGCCUUCUUCCCUGAGCACCUUGCACACAGUCAGUGUUUUCCCAGGUAUCUGAAGGAAGCCACAGACACAGCCUUGGCUGUAACAUGAACCUCUUAAGUCGUUUACAAGACUCUCCAACAUCAAUGAUUUCUUUUUUUGUAGUUGUUCUAUUUUUGACUCUAGAAUAGUCCCAGCACCUGUUCUGCCUGUUGAAAUAA
rnacentral:lncRNA from 1 species